GGCCAUAUCACUUUGAAACACCAGUUCCCGUACGAACACCGAAGUUAAGCAAUUAACGAGUCUGGUCAGUACCUAAAUGGGUGACCGCUUGGGAAUAGCAGGUGCUGUAA